GAUGAACGCUGGCGGCGUGCCUAAUACAUGCAAGUCGGACGCAAUGCUUCGGCAUUGAGUGGCGAACGGGUGAGUAAUACAUAAGCAACCCGCCCCUGUGAGGGGGGAUAACUGCUGGAAACGGCAGCUAAGACCGCACAGGCAUACAUGACGCAUGUCGAGUAUGUUAAAUAUCCCACGGGAUAGCACAGGGAUGGGCUUAUGACGCAUUAGCUAGCUGGUGAGGUAGAGGCUCACCAGGGCGACGAUGCGUAGCCGGCCUGAGAGGGUGGACGGCAACACUGGGACUGAGAAACGGCCCAGACUCCUACGGGAGGCAGCAGUAGGGAAUUUUCGGCAAUGGGCGAAAGCCUGACCGAGCAACGCCGCGUGAAGGAAGAAGUCAUUCGUGAUGUAAACUUCUGUUAUAAAGGAAGAACGGCGCCUGUAGGGAAUGACAGGCGAGUGACGGUACUUUAUGAGGAAGCCACGGCUAACUACGUGCCAGCAGCCGCCGUAACAC
rnacentral:rRNA from 1 species